GCUGGGGUUCAUCAUAAAGAGGAGGAAUCGAGGUUGAUCCUGCUAAAAAAAAAAAAAAAAAAAAAAAAAAAAAAAAAAAAACACAAAAGAGUAAAAAAUGCCUGAACCGGGAACAAAAAAAAGAGGUUCGUGGUUUCUUAGAAAGAUUGAACUACCUGUCAUGGUUCACAUCUUACUUAACAGCCACGUGGGAACCCGUUCAAAAGAAAAGAUCAAACGGUCAGGUGAAAUAAUGAUUGCCAAGGGGCAUUUGAAAAAAU
rnacentral:lncRNA from 1 species